UCCGAAUUGGUGUAGUGGCUAACAUUUGGCGCUCUCAAGUUAUUAACAUGAUCCGCCAAGCCCGGGGUUCGAUUCCCCGAUUCGGAG